CUCUUUUAGACAACACGCAUAAUGGGAGCUUUAUGCAACAGGCUAUCCUUUAUUUGGAUUCAACGAAUACUACUUUCCUUUUAAAUAUCUUGGAUGUCGAAUCUAGUUGUGAAGAAAAAAGGUGGCAUACUUUAGUGGCCAAGAUUACUGGAACGUUACAGGGAUGACAAGGAAAAUUAUAGGGGCAUUGCUAACUUGUCCGGCUCACGCAGUUUGUUAUCUCAGCU
rnacentral:lncRNA from 1 species